GCUUUGUUCACUAAGACCUGGCCCCAAGCAAUUAGAGUUGAGCAGGAUUCAUCUGUCUGCCUCCCUCCAUGGCACUUGUCCGGGUAAACAACAGAAUCUCAGGUGUUCUUACUUCUCCCUGCAGCGUGUCAGCAUGCUUACACAUCCUCGUUCUUCUUUGUGCUCACAGAGGAGGCCAAUUAGGGCUCAAUCUUCCUGUUCUCCUGCAGCAGAGGAAACUUACAUGCAGACUACUAAGUAAAAGCAGCUCACCCAAAAAGGAUAUUUACUAUGUGAUUCCAACUCCAUGAUAUUCUGGAAAAGGGAGCAAUGCCACGCCUGCCCAGGUGGAGUCUCACUUAAUACCAUCAGCCCGUGCUUUGGCUGCAGGAGUGCUACAGGUGAACCCUGUCGCUGUCCUCCCUCACCUGGCUCUUGCACCUUCACUCUCCUGCCCCUCAACCCAGUUGCUCCGCCACACUGUGACUGCUGCUGCCCCCAGCUCAGCCUCUCAGGCCUCGUCUCUCCUGCACCGUGCCCCCCUGGAGGAACUCUGCCCUUUGCACCCUCUGCCGCUGGCCGCAGCCCCCAGACACUCCAGGCCAUCCCUUGGCCUCUGGCAGGGAACUCUAGGAGCAGCUAGAGGAAGUCUACACAUGUGGAGAGAAGGAAGUGGGCCAGUCUGACAUUCAGGUGCAUCUCCCUUCCACAGCUGGGGUCCCAGCCCUGGCUUAGUACCACACAGGGAAACAUCCGGGGCUGACCCCUCUGGCCAUUUCUGCCAUCACUGCUCCUAAAUUCACUGUAAGGUUUGACGAACUGGCCUCUGGCGUGACCACAGGAGACCUGGGGCUACUGGGAUUGCACAAUACCUGUCCCCACCUCCAGGUUGUGUUCAGGCCCAGCCCGCUGUGUGGCCUCACUGGGGCCUAUCACCCCUGAGUCCUGAACUGUGAGCACUGGUGCAAGGCCCAACACAAGGGGAAAAGAGCCCAGAUCAGCAGAGUGAGCUCCCAAGAGCACAGCUUGGCCCUUGGCCUCCUGACCCAAGGCCACAGCCCUCCUCGGUGUUGUCUGGACCUUAAAGCCCCUUCCCCAAGGGAAACGCCUGGGGUGAAGGGAGAACGGGCAGAGAGCUGUUCCCAAGCGUCACUGGCUCCCAGAGAGCAAGGCUGCGAUGCUCCCUCUACUCCUCGCCUCAUUAUAGGCUGAAGCCCAGCCUGGGGACUCCAGCACUGGCCACAAUCCUCCUGGACCCUGGAACUGAC
ensembl:lncRNA